rnacentral:lncRNA from 10 species
AGCCACCGCACCCAGCCUCUUUGUUUUUGUCAAGGUGGAGUCUCACUCUAUCACCCAGGCUGGAUUGCAGUGGCACAAUCUUGACUCACUGCAGCCUUCACCUCCGAGGUUCAAGUGAUUCUCCUGCCUCAGCCUCCCGAGUAGCUGGGAUUACAGGCACCACCACCACACCCAGCCUUUUUUUUUUUUUUUUUUUUUUUUGGAGACAGGGUCUCACUGUCACCCAGGCUGGAGUGUAGUGGCAGUAUCACGGUUCACGGCAGCCUAGACCUCCUCAGACUCAAGCGAUCCUCCCCCCUAAGCCUCCCAAGCAGCUGCGAC